AGCAGCCGCGGUAAUUCCAGCUCCAAUAGCGUAUAUUAAAGUUGUUGCAGUUAAAAAGCUCGUAGUUGAAUUUCGGGGUUAGUAGGUUGGUCAUGCCUCUGGUAUGUACUGGUCUCACUGAUUCCUCCUUCCUGAUGAGCCGUAAUGCCAUUAAUUUGGUGUUGCGGGGAAUUUGGACUGUUACUUUGAAAAAAUUAGAGUGUUUAAAGCAAGCUAACGCUUGAAUACAUUAGCAUGGAAUAAUGAAAUAGGACGUUCGAUCCUAUUUUGUUGGUUUCUAGGAUUGACGUAAUGAUUAAUAGGGAUAGUUGGGGGCAUUAGUAUUCAAUUGUCAGAGGUGAAAUUCUUGGAUUUAUUGAAGACUAACUACUGCGAAAGCAUUUGCCAAGGAUGUUUUCAUUAAUCAAGAACGAAAGUUAGGGGAUCGAAGACGAUCAGAUACCGUCGUAGUCUUAACCAUAAACUAUGCCGACUAGGGAUCGGAUGAUGUUAAUUUUUAAUGACUCAUU
rnacentral:rRNA from 1 species